rnacentral:lncRNA from 1 species
UGCAAACGAUGAAAGCUGAGUUUUGUGGAUGCUGAUGUUCACACGAUUGGAAAUAAGAUGACAUAUCCUGGUGAAGUAAGUUCCUGGAUUGUAUAUAUAUUAUUUUUUAAUUUUUUAUGUUAAAUUUAAUUAAAAUAUUACUUGUUUUUUCUUUUUUGUUUAAUACAGUCAUCUAAUCAAGGCUAUAAGAAAUCAAAAAGAGCUAAAAAAAAAGCUUCAAUUGUUGCUGCCACAAGAGAAGGGAAUGAAGGGAUAAGACUAUCAGAAGGAGGUUCUAAUUCUGUUCUAGAUGUAC